AUGCCGGAGGGAACAGCUGGAGGAGGAGAAGAAGAAAAAAAAAAAAAAAAGAAAAGAAGGAGAGUAAAAAUAUCUUUCUGCAUCUCUGCCACGCGGGGGAUUCACAGCUCCAUUCAGAAAAAUAAGUGGAGGCCUUUGAUGAUCUUCCUACCGUACCGUUGGCACACGCAGCUAUUUUGCAUUCGCGGUCAGCCUCGAAGGAAUUUUGGACGGGCCAAGUAUGGUCCUCGAUCAUCGGAUGCCCUGCCUCCAUCUGGCCCACGCUUUCACCCCUCCAAGGUGCACCCAGGAUGCGCGGCCGGGACCUUCAGCCGAGAAUCGCUGUGCUGUCCGUCUGCCGUUGAAAAGGUCUGUUUCAUAUGGAAACGUUGUGCUUCAACCUGCUCACGUACGUUUCCAGGCCACCAAUGAGCCACAAGAUAACGGGAUAUUAUUUUACAUCAACUCCUUCACACUCCUGCAUGUUUACAAUUACAUUUACAGCAUUUACCAGACGCCCUUAUCCAGAGCGACUUACAGUCAGUAGUUACAGGGACAGUCCCCCCCUGGAGACACUCAGGGUUAAGUGUCUUGCUCAGGGACACAAUGGUAGUAAGUGGGGUUUGAUCCUGGGUCUUCUGGUUCAUAGGCGGGUGUCUUAACCACUAGGCUACUACCACCCCCUUUCUUAUUAAUACAACAAUUGGCACAACGGGAGUUUGAUGACAGCCCAGAGCUUGAAGGGGUUUUGUGUAAAUCGGAUCUCUGUUCUUCAAGCAGCUGACAGAUAUGGGUUAAUGCAUGCAGGAACUUCACAGGGAACAGCACUGUUUGCAGCCACAGCCACUGCAAAUCCACAGGGAGCGCUACCUCUGUGUGACCCAAGCCAGAGGAGUGCGGUGCGCAGGG
rnacentral:lncRNA from 1 species